AAGUUUCAGAUGAUGGUCCUCCCUCAUUUGUUUCCUCAGCUGGGGCUGUAGAUGAUGGUACAGCGGCUGCGGACGCGGCAGAGGGUGAGGCUGGAGUAGAGGAUGAUCCAAUUGAAGCAGCAACAUUUACUAUUGGGCGAGCCUUGGUGCAAUUGGUUAUUACUGCUUUCGUGUCCCGUAAGUCCUUCGAGCCCUGGAAACAGGCUUUCUGCAGAAAGCAGGCAUUAGCAGGGGAGAGCACUUUACGCACCGGAUGAGUCUUAUAUCUACAUUCUUUUCAUGACUGUCUUGUUGAUCAAUGAUAAUAUUUGCAUUGAGUACCUGAAUUUUACGCGUUUGAAGAUCUUUACUCCAUUGGAACGUUGGACGAAAGUUACGUACACCCCAGGUUCAAAUUGUUCAAUACUUUCUCCUUCCUUUUUUGAGGUUGAAGCGUCGUGUGAUCGGGACUCAUGUUCCGAUGAGUUAUGAUGGGGUACAGUCUCUGGAUUACUAGAAACAGAUAAUCUAUGGCUGUCCUGAGGAACACUUCCAUCAUGAGAUAAGUCAGUAGCUUGAUAUUCAAUCCUAUUCUCUUGCAUAUUUGAAGUUGUAUCAGAUGCAUGUUUUUGGCCUGACAUUAAGCUUUCUGCCACGGAAGAACUUUCAGAUGUUUCAUAUAUGUGCAGAAAAGUCUCGAUUUGACCAUUCAUAGCUUUGAAGGUUUCGCUAUCUUGAAUAUCAGGAGGCAAUUGCACUGUCA